GGCCCCAAACAAGACAAAUGAAGACAGAACCAGGAUUAUUCCACAUGCUAUUUUUACUUAUACAUUUUAUUUCCUCCUACCACUAUUUAUUCUACUCCCUAGAAUAGUAUAAUCAUACAAAUUCCAUUGUCUACUAUGCCCAUUUCUGAGUUUCCCAUCUUGAUAGAAGGAGUAUCUCUCCCUAGGAAAAAAUGCACAUAAGAUAAUUUGUGUACACUUUCUGGGUGCCCAUGGAGCCCCCGAAGCCUCUCCACGAACCCUGGGCUAAGACUCUGGCCCUGAGGUUAGUAUGAGCUUUCUGACCCUGAUGAAUUGAUUUUAGACACUUUCAAGAGGCUUUUUCUGUUCCUCUUGAUCCAAAACAAUUUUCCAGCAAGUUCUCUGGGCUCUGUGAUGCCCUACUUUCCAGGUCCUCUCUGUACAGUCACACCUACUUAUCACCCUCAGCACCGUCUUCAUUAUUAAUGUCAUUCCACCUGGACCUCGUCUUCCAACCUAGACCUUUUUCUAUGAGACAUGUUAGACUUGAAGCUUAAAGGAAGCUCUUUAAGAAAGAGAGUAUAAAAAUAUCUUACCAUUGCAAAUUUUACAAUAUACAUAUACAUAAUAGUAAAUACAUAAGUAAAAAAUAUAUAUCCAAAUACACACACACACACAUACAUAUAUGGCCAAACAUACUGAGGUCCACUACCAUGACCUUGGCAAUGCCUAUGCAAAUGAGGGGUCCAAAGGUUAAGCCUCAUGGCUCCAUAGCUGGUUAUCUCUGUACAUGAGCCCAUAAGAGGUCCACAGGAAGGAUGCCCCAUUCAGUGAUUCCCCAUCUAUUUGGAGGGUUGGGGGAUAUUUCUUUGACAUGCUGUUCAGAGCUCCUAUAGCUUCAUGUCCUCAGAAAUCCUACAUCUUCCUGCCAAGCACAACAGCAACAGCUUAUGAUGAUUAAUUAGAUUUUUAAUUAAUGCCUCACCACUUAAUUAAGAACAAUCCCUUGGACAGAUCGGAAGAGGCGGAUCCUUCCUCUUCUACCACCAGUGCUCUGUCAGUGGAAACUGCGCUCCAGGCCUCCGUUUUGAUCCUAAGCAAUGGUGCCCGUGAACUUGGCAGGUUGGUAUCAGUGCUCUCCAUGAAGUUUCCUGGACCCUCUUAGCACCCAUUGUGCCCGCAAGCAGUUUCGUGUUUACUGGUUUGCUUUCCCUACCAGACUACCCGCUGCUUGCGAGCAAGAAAUAUGCCUUACUCGUCUUUGUAUUCUGGUUUCUCACAAGGUAGGCCAUAAAUAUACUGGUAAACAGAAUUAAAUAACGCUACAUAUAGUUACCCUCAGGGUACAGUAUGCAUUCAGUCAUUUGUGGGAGACUUGAAAACUAUCAAAAUUGGAUAAUUUUUAUUUUAUUAUUUAUUUAUUUAUUUUGUCUUUUUGCCUUUUCUUGGGCCGCUUCCCAUGGCAUAUGGAGGUUCCCAGGCUAGGGGUCUAAUGGGAGCUAUAGCUGCUGGCCUACACCAGAGCCACAGCAACGUGGGAUCUGAGCUGCGUCUGCAACCUACACCACAGCUCAUGGCAAUGCCAGAUCCUUAACCCACUGAGCAAGGCCAGGGAUCGAACCUGUAACCUCAUGGUUCCUAGUUGGAUUCGUUAACCACUGUGCCACGACGGGAACUCCAAAAAAUUGUAUAAUUUUUAUAAGGAAAAAAACCUUUUGGGUUCUGAGCCACUGGCUUUAAAAUAUAUUUGGAUGAUCUAAUUUUCUUCU
rnacentral:lncRNA from 1 species